rnacentral:rRNA from 1 species
UACAGAGGGGGCAAGCGUUAUUCGGAAUUAUUGGGCGUAAAGGGCUCGUAGGCGGCUUGGCAAGUUUGAGGUGAAAUCUCCCGGCUUAACUGGGAGGGGGCCUCGAAAACUGCCAGGCUUGAGGCAUGGAGAGGGAUGCGGAAUUCCCGGUGUAGUGGUGAAAUGCGUAGAUAUCGGGAGGAACACCAGUGGCGAAGGCGGCAUCCUGGCCAUGUCCUGACGCUCAGGGGCGAAAGCGUGGGGAGCAAACCGG